UACGUAGGCAGCGAGCGUUGUUCGGAGUUACUGGGCGUAAAGCGUGCGCAGGCGGUUUUGUAAGUCAGAUGUGAAAUCCCCGGGCUCAACCUGGGAACUGCAUUUGUGACUGCAUAGCUAGAGUUCGGUAGGGGAGUCUGGAAUUCCUGGUGUAGCGGUGAAAUGCGCAGAUAUCAGGAGGAACACCGGUGGCGAAGGCGGGACUCU
rnacentral:rRNA from 1 species